rnacentral:tRNA from 1 species
GCGGGUGUAGUAUAGCGGUAGUACGUGACCUUCCCAAGGUCGAAGCAGGGGUUCGACUCCCCUCAUCCGCU